rnacentral:misc_RNA from 1 species
UGAAGAACGUAGCGAAAUGCGAUAAGUAAUGUGAAUUGCAGAAUUCAGUGAAUCAUCGAAUCUUUGAACGCACAUUGCGCCCGCUAGUAUUCUGGCGGGCAUGCCUGUCCGAGCGUCAUUUCAACCCUCAAGCCCCCGGGCUUGGUGUUGGGGAUCGGCGAGCCUCCGCGCCCGCCGUCCCCUAAAUCUAGUGGCGGUCUCGCUGUAGCUUCCUCUGCGUAGUAGCACACCUCGCACUGGGAAACAGCGCGGCCACGCCGUUAAACCCCCAACUUCUGAACGUUUGACCUCGGAUCAGGUAGGAAUACCCGCUGAACUUAAGCAUAUCAAUAAGCGGAGGA